AACGUAGGACACAAGCGUUAUCCGGAGUUACUGGGCGUAAAGGGCGUGUAGGCGGAUCGGUAAGUCUACUCUGAAAGCUCCUGGCUAAACUGGGAGAGGCGAGUGGAGACUGUCGGUCUAGAGUGAGGAAGGGGAAAGUGGAAUUCCGCGUGUAGUGGUGAAAUGCGUAGAGAUGCGGAGGAACACCAGUGGCGAAAGCGGCUUUCUGGUCCUUAACUGACGCUGAGGCGCGAAAGCAUGGGGAGCGAACGGG
rnacentral:rRNA from 1 species